AAGCCAUGAUGAGGGCAUUGGUUGGUGUAACCCUUGAAACGCUCCCAUGUUAGGUU
rnacentral:snoRNA from 1 species